rnacentral:snoRNA from 1 species
GUCUCCAGUACUUCAUGAAUCAUAUUCUUUAGUAAACGUCCUCUUCUGAGCUUCUCAAAAAAGCCACAGAAUCUCCAACCUGGUUGAUGAGUUUUAGCCUCGAUGUCCCGGAGUGAGGCCUUAUUACGUUUGCUUCGGCGAGCGUGGCGAUGAUCUUCAGCUAACCGGUCGUGUACUUCGGUCGCGCCGGGCGGCAGGACGUUGAUGGCAAUCUGACAGGC